rnacentral:lncRNA from 1 species
CUAUGUUUUGAUGUUAUACUGAAUUUCUGUGGUUGUCUUCUGUUAAUGUGGUUCCUAAUUGUUUCUCAUUUUUUUAAAUAGAUUAGACCAUUGUGUUUUUCCCAUUUGAAUGGUUUUACACUAGUAACUGUUGGGGCCCUUUAUAGCUUGCUGUUCUGUGUGAGCCUAGGCACCAUGUUUAAGACCGUACCCUUGACCUAUACCUAUUAACAUUUAUAAUUGUGACUUGGAUGGAGAGUGGUCUCAUUUACACUCAAACCACAUCUUCCUAUCUCUAUAUCUUUGGGGUAUU